CCGGAAGAUGGUGGCAUGGCCGGGGUCGGCGAGGUGAGCGAAGAGGUUGUCGAUGGGGCCGGUGCCGGUGUACUCGGCCUGGAACCACGCGCCCAUGACGGCGAGCAUGGCCAGGCGGCCGUUCUUGAUCUCCUUGGUGCGCAGCUCCUUGAGCUUCUCGGGCGAGCCGGUGCCGUAGCCGAGCGGGUCAAACCACAGACCACCGGGGUACCUUAUGUUUCCAACACGCAAAGACAUCACCUGAUUAGCCCCCACAAUAGCACAAGGAGAGACAAGCACGUAUCAAGUUCGCUUGUUGACGUAUGUGUGUGCGACUGUGCGUACCCGACGUCGGUGCCGGUGAGCUUGUUGUUGGGGAAGAUGGGGUCGGUGUUGACGCAGCCUGGCUUGAUGAUGUCUGCCCACCGGCGGCCCUCGGCCCAGCCGAUGAGGAUGAGCUCCACGAUGAAGAGGGUGGUGGUGUCGGUGAAGUACUCCUGCUCCCCGGCGGUGUACCACGACGGCGUGUUGAGGAUGCCGAUCUUGGUCAGCAGCUCUGGGAUGAAGAUGCCCGCCGCGCCCAGCAUCGCCCACCGGCAGUGCACCAGCUCCGCCUGCACGUUCCACCGCAAGCUCUCCGGGUCGGAUCCUACACGUCAAAACGGAUCAAACAUUGUUCAUGCCGAUGUCGCGCCAAGAACAACAACGGAUCACUACUAGGGUCUAGGGUUGAGAUGUGGGAGACUCGUCAGGACUUACCAAGACCCCAUGGGUCAAAGCCGAAGUCUCCGGGAAGGCUGCAUGCAUCAAGAACAACGAGGUGUACACACACUGUCAGUGUCAGCCAAGAGUCGAUCGCAGCAUAUCUUGGCAUGCAUGCAAGGGCGCAGCGUGUCGGAGUACCAACCUGCCGUCAAGCCACGGGGGAGGGGUGCUCCCGGGGAACCAGAUGGGCCUCUCGGGCGCCGCGGCGCGCACGGCGAACGACGUGCGCGACGCGGCCGCCUUGCCGGCAGCGCCGAGGAAGGAGGUCCGGGCGCCGGCCAGCCCGUUGCUGGGGAGCGCCGCGACGGCGGUGGCGGAGGAGGAGGAGACCAGCGCCAUCGUUGCUGCACCAGUGCGCGCGCUCGCUGGCCGGCUGUGCCUGUAGCGGGGGGAGGCGCGCGCGUGCGUGCGUGGUGUGGGAGUGGAAUUGAGCGUGUGGUGCGCGCGGCAGUUUAUGGGGAUCUAGGCGCCAGGCGCCGGGUGGCCCUGGCUUAUCCGGGAGGAGAUAGCGAGCAAGGCCGUGGCGUGCCACGCGGCGUGGAGAAUCCGAUCCCCUGGCUACGCCGCGCCGGGGCCUUGCUGACGUGGAGGCCAUCCCGGUCGGGGCCUGAUGAAAAUCGGUGCCGAGGCUCGCGAUUGGACGACGUGCUCCGCAUUUGGCACGCGGGUUGCAGCCUUCGAUGUACUAUCGGCAUGAUGAUAUGUGCAUAUAUCCACGCAGAUUUUCUCUUAAGACUACUCGUAAUGCUAAGUAACAUAGAAUAGUAUAACAUAGAUAUGUUAUUAGUUUAAGUUAGUACCUCCACAGUGGAUAAUAACAUUGAGGUAGUAACACUUAGCCUUUCAUUUAUUAGUCUAUAGACUCUUCUUGCCUUGGUAUCCGUUAUGUUACUUCUAGUAUGAGUAACAUGCUAAGAGGGUGCUUGGAUCUAAGAAACUAAAACUAGUCUGACUAAAAAUAGUCUCUUUAAGAGGCUAAAGUUUUAAGUACCCCUAACUAAAGAGGGGGCUAAAACUAGUCUUGAGACUAAUUUUUUUAGUCAGGGAUACCCCUAGUAAAAUGUAGAUUAGUCCUCUCUCUCCUCAUUUAACUCCUUUCCUUUAACAUAGACGAGUUUUGGAUUGGAAGGUUUGGAGGAUAAUAAAUGCUCAUUAACUUGAUUUUAGUCUCUUUAGUAUUUGGAUCCAAGCGUGGGUGAGGCUAGCAAGUUUUAGUCCCACUACUUUUAGUCAUGAGACUAAAACGUAUCCAAGCACCCUCUAAGUUACUCAAUUUCUCUCUCUUCUCAUUAAUUAGUUGUCACAUCAUAUUUCUUGCUUAGGUGGCAUUUAUGUUACAUUGUCUAAGGCAAUGUACGGGUCCAUCGGAAAAAAUAUGUACUCUCUCCUUUUCGGUUUACAGGGAUUAAAUCUAAAAUCUUAUCAACCAAAGUAAAUUGUGAGUGGAUGACACUAGUCUUAGGCUGGCCAUAAUGGGAGUAACUAAGUUAGUAUCAUAUACUUGGGACUAACAAACAUGAUGAUGUGGCAGACAAUUAAAGAAGAGAGAGAGGUUAGAGUAACAUAGGUAGAUAUCGUAAAAUGUUAAAUGCUAUGCUACUAUGUGUCAUGCAUGUCAAUAAAUAAGGUCAUCUAUGAUACUAGUUUAUGAUACUAUGCAAUAUGAAGGUAGUAUCAUAUAAUAAUAUCACAUGCAUGAUACUACUAUAUGAUACUCCCGACUAUGGUCAGCCUUAACUAAUCGAUUUAAUAUUUCUCACAUAUUCAAUUUUCGAGAAAAUAAAUAUAGCAUCCUCUUUCUUAUUGGACUUGCAUGGUGCGUAAAGAUACAUGCAUAGCCACUAAUUUCCUUUCUCUUAUCUCUAUGAAUUAAAUGUGACGUGAGACUCAAAGCACUUUAAUUCAAUUAGACUUAAAAUGAGCCUAAUAUAAUGAAAAUAUGAAAAAAUUGAGAUAAGCCCUAUAAACCAAAAAGGAGGGAGUACAUGUAUUCAUAGAGAAAUGAUGAUGAUUAACGGUCGACAUUAAAAAAUUGUUAUAUGGUCAGCGCCCCCCCCUAGUGGGGCCCUCCAUCUGAUUUCUAUCCAACCAGAAAAUUCUACCGAGCUCGCUAAGAGCAUCUGCAACCUACUUUGCAAAUUUGUCCCUCAAACGUUCACGUCAUUUGCUCCUUACCAUCUGAGUCUCUCAUACUUCAUCCCCUAGAUUCAUAUAAAUCAUGCAAAAUAAACCUACGUGCUACGAUACACUAGCUAUGAUUCGUCAUCGGAGAUGUCUGUCGGUGCCCUGGCACCGGGUGGACGGCGCAGAGGAAGGUUGCCACUCCUCCUCCUUCUCAUAUAUGUACGCGAGCAUCUCAGUAACUUCCACGGAUGCUCCGCCUCUAUCUCCUGUCGACGAUGGGGUCUUUGCCUUCACCUCCGACUCUAGGUGAAAGGAAUCGAGCAUGGCAUCCUGCUCCGCGUGCAGAUCCGUUUCCCCAACGUUACCCACAUCCUCCUCCUCCUCAACCUCCCCCUCCUCUUCCUCAACCACACCCUCCUCCUCCUCCAAGUACUUUGGAUCCAACGCAUUCAAAGGUAGCCCCGCGGCGAUCCGGGCUUCGCUCCUUGCACGGAUAUGCUCAAGGAGAUCUAGCCGGUGCUCUAGCGUUACAUAUGUCCAACAGUGCGGACGACGAGUGGAAAGUGGCGGCAACGACGGACGAGGGGAUAAAAUGUGGACGGUUAGGGUUUCAGUGCCGGCGGUCGGCUUAAAUAGUCGGGCUAGGCACAACACGGCCCCCUGGAGCGGCGCGAAGCGGCUUCAUCGGUCCGACGGAGGAGACGAGCUUUGGACUGCUGUGUGAUGAGUGUGAUCUGCAUUGGUUUUUUUUCGUGAAGAGGAACGGGUUAUCGCAGCACAAUGCAGGUAAGUAUUUCCCUCAGUUAUGAAACCAAGUUUUAUCGAACCAAUGGGAAUACCAAUCCUCAACCUCUUCAGCGACUGCACACAAAGAAACAAACGACUUGCACCCAACACGGGCAAGAGGUUUGUCAAUCCCCUUGAUCUCGUUAUUUGCAAGAAAAUGAGGUGUAUAGGUAAUUUUUGAUGAUUUUAAAUUGCAAAAUAAAAUAAAACACAAAUAAUGGCAGCAAGGCAGUAGUAGCGUUUGUAAAUAUAUAAGUGAAUAGACCCGGGGGCCGCAAUAUUCCCUAGUGGCAUCUCUCAUAGCAAAGGCAUAUGGUGGGUAAACAAAUUAUUGUUGUGCAAUUGAUAGAACAACGAAUAAUUAUGCGAUUUUCACGACAAUGAACAUGUGUAUAUAGGCAUCACGUCCAUAAGCAAAUAGGCAGACUCUUGCGUGCACCUAUUACUACUAGUAGAACUCCCGUGCGUUGCUACGGGCCACAAUACAAAUAAAUGAAUCUAUCAAAUGAUUAAGGUUGUCUUUAAGGCCGAAGCUUAUUUCUUUCUCGUACAUCCUGGCGAGUCUGGACAUCAUGGGCACCCAACAGGCUCCUUUUUAUCUGUCUGACAGUUCACGCUCCCUAAAUCCAUACCAUAUGUUAGAAAUAUGCUUGUUCAGACUAUUCACCGUGUUAUAUCUUAAGCACGUAGGACGAACACAAAAACCUCACCCAUAGACACAUCCUUCCCAUUUCCUCCUACUCCCUCGCAUUCCCGAUAGAUUUUUUCCAUAGCAAGACAUUUCUAGUUGGAGUCAUGUCCUUUGAAACCAGAUGACACCCACAUCACCUUUACUGCGGCACCCUUAUGUUCUUAACCCUUUAAAACCAGAUAACACCCACCUUAUAUUCGACAUAGGACCUUAUGUUCUUCACCCUUUAAAACCGGAUGACGCCCACCUCACCUUCAGCAUGGCGCCCUAUGUUGUUCAUCCUGCCAACCGCCCCGCUUUCCUCCCUGAUCCCCUCCCCUAUGUUUGUGCUGAUCAACCACCGCCAUAAGCGGAGGAUGCGUGCGCCGCUCAUGACCCCCACCCCCAAAACCAUGAAUGCGGAUCUGGCGUCUCUUGAGCAAGCAAACAAAAAUUUAAUUUGUUGGGAUAAAAAAGGUAGUUAAUUGCCCAUGAGUUGCAACAGAAACAUAAAUAUUACUAGUGAAAUCAAUUUACUUGCAGAAAAUCGCUAUGGAGAAGAGGCAAGAAAAUAUUAUGUCGAGUUUACAACUGCAAAAUAAACUUGUAAAAUAACCAAUGGAGGAAAAAUACACACGAGUUAUCAUUGCAUAUGUGUGUUGCUACAAGCUAGUUCACUCUUGAUCGAUUCUUGCUAGAAAAUUCACUCGCUGGAACAUCCAGCAUCAGUUUUUAUGCUCUCGCAACAAAAACUCUUAUUUUGCAACAAAAACUCUUCUUAUGAACGAUGCUGGAUUAGAAGGCUACGUGUUGCUACCACUACCUUAUGCAUCCUCCUUUCUAUGGUCUUCCUCUAAUCUUCCCUGAUAGAUCCAUGUCUUCUAGUCGCUUCUAGAGGACCAGCGAGUUCAUGAGGAAGUGAAUGAACAAGUUGUUGGGUAACGUACCAUAAAUUCAAAAAAAAUCCUAUGCAUAUUCAGAUCUUCCUAUGGAGAGACCAGCAACGAGAGAGGGGUGAGAGCAUCUUCAUACCUUUGAAGAUCACUAAGCGGAAGCGUUGCUAGAACUCGGUUGAUGGAGUCGAACUCGCGGCGAUUCAGAUCGCGGUGUGAUUCCGAUCUAGUGCCGAACCACGGCACCUCCACGUUCAAAAGACGUGCAGCCUGGUGACGUCUCCCGCACCUUGAUCCAGCAAGGAGGAGGGAGAGGUUGGGGAAGAUCUCUGGUAGCACGACGGCGUGGUGUCGAUGGAGAGACGAGGUCUCCCGGCAGGGCUUCGCCAAGCACCGGCAGAGAGGAGGAGAAACAAGAGCACGGCUGCGCCGAGGGAGAGGGAAAACUGUGUCUAAAACAGCCCCGAAACCCUCACUAUAUAUAGGAGGAGGGGAGGGGUGCCACCCCUAGGGUUCCCACCCUAGGUGGUGUGGCAACCCCCCCCCCCCNNNNNNNNNNNNNNNNNNNNNNNNNNNNNNNNNNNNNNNNNNNNNNNNNNNNNNNNNNNNNNNNNNNNNNNNNNNNNNNNNNNNNNNNNNNNNNNNNNNNNNNNNNNNNNNNNNNNNNNNNNNNNNNNNNNNNNNNNNNNNGUGGCGCACCCCUAGGUGGGCCUUAGGCCCACCAGCGCCUAGGGUUUCCCCCCUCUCCACCUCCUGCGGCUUGGGUUGAGUGUGGGGGGCGCACCAGCCCACCUAGGGGCUGGUUCCCUCCCGCACUUGGCCCAUCUAGCCUCCCGGGGUCGUGGCCCCCUUCCGGUGGACCCCCGGGGCCACUUUCGAUGGUCCCGGUACGUUACCGGUGACGCCCGAAACACUUCCGCUGUCCAAAACCAUCCGUCCUAUGUAUCAAUCUUUACCUCCGGACCAUUCCGGAGCUCCUCGUGACGUCCGGGAUCUCAUCCGGGACUCUGAACAUCCUUCGGUAACCUCGUAUAACAAUUCCCUAUAACCCUAGCAUCAUCGAACCUUAAGUGUGUAGACCCUACGGGUUCGGGAGACACGCACACAUGACCGAGACACCUCUCCGGCCAAUAACCAUCAGCGGGGUCUGGAUACCCAUGGUGGCUCCCACUUGCUCCACAAUGAUCUCAUCGGAUGAACCACGAUGUCAAGGAUUCAAUCAAUCCCGUACCCAACAAACACUUUCAGAGGUACCCGUAGUGCACCUUUAUAGUCACCCAGUUACGUUGUGACGUUUGAUACACCCAAAGCACUCCUACGNNNNNNNNNNNNNNNNNNNNNNNNNNNNNNNNNNNNNNNNNNNNNNNNNNNNNNNNNNNNNNNNNNNNNNNNNNNNNNNNNNNNNNNNNNNNNNNNNNNNCCCCACCGACGCAACCCCUACCUAACCUCAAGGUCUUCCCCCACGAGAGGAACCCCACGACCGAGCCCUCUCCCCCAGCUCCUCUCCCUCCCACACAACCCCGUCGGCCCCCAGAUCCACCCCGGGCCCCCAUCGAGCCUCCCUCUCCCAUCAGAGCGACCGAGCCCCCCCGGUUCAUCCCGUCGGCCCCAUCCACUCCGGCGGUCCUCCCCUACCUCGAUCCCAGGCCGCCACCCACGAGCCCCCGCGAGGCCGACCUCCCCAUCCCCGUGAACCCCAUCUCGCCAGCCUCAACCCUCUCGGCGGCUCCAUCUCCGGGGCCCCUCCUCACCGGGGCCCCUCUCGGCGACCCUUGGACCGGCUCCCCUCGCCGACACGUCCUCACCGGAAUCGCGCCAUCACCGUCACCUUCUCGUCCUCCUCCUCGUUGUCACCUCUGCCUCCCGAGAACUCCGGCUUCACCGGGCCCUCUCGUCAACGUCGGUGAGCCCCUCUUUGGGCUCCUCCCACCGUCUCCUUCCUCGCGCCGUCCCGGUUCCGUUCCGGCAAACGGCGCUCCGUUCCGACGUCGUUAGGAUCGUGUAGGCGAGGUUGGAGAUGUUCCUCUCUCCCUGUGAGGUUGAGAGUUUGAGAGUNNNNNNNNNNNNNNNNNNNNNNNNNNNNNNNNNNNNNNNNNNNNNNNNNNNNNNNNNNNNNNNNNNNNNNNNNNNNNNNNNNNNNNNNNNNNNNNNNNNNGAUGAUCAUGGUUUCCUGGUCAUGGGCAUUAGAUGUCAUUGAUAACGGGAUCACAUCAUUGGGAGAAUGAUGUGAUGGACAAGACUCAAUCCUAAGCAUAGCACUAGAUCGUAUUGUUCGUAUGCUAAAGCUUUUCAAAUGUCAAGUGUCUUUUCCUUCGACCGUGAGAUUGUGCAACUCCCGGAUACCGUAGGAGUGCUUUGGGUGUAUCAAACGUCACAACGUAACUGGGUGACCAUAAAGGUGCACUACGAGUACCUCUAGAAGUGUCUGUUGGGUUGGUACGAAUCGAGAUCGGGAUUUGUCACUCCGCGUGACGGAGAGGUAUCUCUGGGCCCACUCGGUAGAACAUCAUUAUGAGCUCAAUGUGAGUAAGGAGUUAGUCACACGAUGACGUGCUACGGAACGAGUAAAGAGACUUACCGCUAACGAGAUUGAACAAGGUAUAGGUAUACCGACGAUCGAAUCUCGGGCAAGUUCUAUACCAACAGACAAAGCGAAUUGUANNNNNNNNNNNNNNNNNNNNNNNNNNNNNNNNNNNNNNNNNNNNNNNNNNNNNNNNNNNNNNNNNNNNNNNNNNNNNNNNNNNNNNNNNNNNNNNNNNNNUGCCGACCACGACAGCAGAUAGAGAGAAGAUGAGUACUGUCCACUAUGCUUCAGCCGUAGGCUCUCUUAUGUAUGCCAUGUUGUGUACCAGACCUGAUAUAAACCUUGCCAUAAGUUUGGUAGGGAGGUACCAAAGUGAUCCCGGUAUGGAACGCUAGACAGCGGUCAAGAAUAUCCUUAAGUACCUGAAAUGGACUAAGGAAAUGUUUCUCGUUUAUGGAGGUGACGAAGAGCUCGUCGUAAAGGGUUACGUCGACGCUAGCUUCGACACAGAUCCGGAUGACUCUAAGUCAUAGACCGGAUAUGUAUAUGUUUUGAAUGGUGGGGAAGUAAGCUGGUGCAGCAGCAAGCAAGAAGUCGUGGCAGCAUCUACAUGUGAAGCGGAGUACAUAGCUUCUUGAGAAGCGGCUCAUGAAGGAAUUUGGAUGAAGGAGCUCAUCACCGACCUNNNNNNNNNNACUCGUCGUAAAGAGUUACGUCGACGCUAGCUUCGACACAGAUCCGGAUGACUCUAAUCACAUACCGGAUACGUAUAUGUUUUGAAUGGUGGGGCAGUAAGCUGGUGCAACAGUAAGCAAGAAGUCGUGGCAGCAUCUACAUGUGAAGCGGAGUACAUAACUACUUCAGAAGCGGCUCAUGAAGGAAUUUGGAUGAAGGAGCUCAUCACCGACCUUGGAGUGGUUCCAAGCGCGUCGGGUCCAAUGACACUCUUCUGUGAUAACACCGGGUCCAUUGCCAUAGCCAAGGAGCCCAGGUUUCACCGGAAGACGAAGCACAUCAAACGCCGCUACAACUCCAUCCAGGACCAUGUCCAGAGUGGAGUAGUAGAGAUUUGUAAAGUACACACGGAUCUGAAUGUUGCAGACCCGUUGACUAAACCUCUUCCACGAGCAAAACAUGAUCAACACCAUAAUGCUAUGGGUGUUCAAUAUAUCACAAUGUAACUAUAUUAUUGACUCUAGUGCAAGUGGGAGACUGUUGGAAAUAUGCCCUAGAGGCAAUAAUAAAAUGGUUGUUAUCAUAUUUCCUUGUUCAUGAUAAUCGUCUAUUGUUCAUGCUAUAAUUGUAUUAACAGGAAACAGUAAUACAUGUGUGAAUAAAUAGAUCACAAUGUGUCCCUGGCAAGCCUCUAAUUGGCUAGCUCGUUAGUCAAUAGAUGAUCAUGGUUUCCUGGUCAUGGGCAUUAGAUGUCAUUGAUAACGGCAUCACAUCAUUGUGAUUAUGAUGUGAUGGACAAGACUCAAUCCUAAGCAUAGCACUAGAUCGUAUNNNNNNNNNNNNNNNNNNNNNNNNNNNNNNNNNNNNNNNNNNNNNNNNNNNNNNNNNNNNNNNNNNNNNNNNNNNNNNNNNNNNNNNNNNNNNNNNNNNNGGUGGGGGUAGGUGCGGGAGCCUCGUGGGGUGGGGUGAGGGCUCGAUGGGAGGGGGGUGGCGGCGACGGCCAGGGGAGAGCAAGGGGAGGGGGGUCGGUCGCUAGGGUUGCCCCUCCUCGGGCUUUAUACCCCACGGAGGGGUGGGCCGAUGGGGAUGCUCGCUGGGACACUUUUGGCCGAGUUAGCGAGGGGGUCUUUUAUCUUUUUCUUUUUAUUAUUAUUUCUAAUUCUAUUAUUAUUCUUUUUAUUUUUUAAUCUUAUUUACUUUCUCUUACUAUUUGUUAUAUAUACUUUUAAUACUUUCUUUUAUUUAUUUAUUUUCAUUUAAUAUAUUUUCUUUAUUUAUUUUAUUUAAAGCUCCUCUCUUAAACAUAUUGGGAUUAUCAAUAAUUCCAAAAGUGUCUGAUUUAAUAUUAUAAUCCGCUAGGGAAUUUUUAUAACUCCCCGACGUUUUUACUUUCACAAUCGAAAUCUUUUCUCGUUUGACCUUAUAUUAAAGCUUCGAAUUUUGAUUUGGUUUCAACUAACACGAGAUCAUUGAUAUAAUCCAUGGUGAUGUGGCAUCAUUAGCACGGGAUCACUGUCACUUAAUUACAAUCAUCAGUGUAGUAAAAGUCGAGGAUGUCACACCUGCACAAGGAUACCCUCCCUCCCUCUCAAUUUUAGCAAGGGAUCAUAUGGCCUCAGUCCUUAUCUCCAUCUAGAUCCUGAUCUGAUUCUCUCCGUUUCGAUCAGAACAGAGAAAAGAGGGGAGAGGAACCUGAGGGAGGAAGGCGAACGCAUGCGGAACACGACGGCGGGAGCGCGGUGGCGGAUGCCUGGAGACUGGAGUAGGUAGUCCCAUGGAGAAAACAACGGUUGCCGUCGGGUGACUCCAGGAAGAAGGGUGCUAUGGCAGGCCCUUGGAAAAAGGACGUCGACUCCCGACGUCGUCGUUACCCCGAGGCCUCCUUCCGCCGUCGUGAAAAAACAUGAAUUUGUAUUGUGAACCGAGUGAAGACAGAUAAAACGUGAACAACGCACGAGCCGAGGAUGACUUCCACCACUGUCCUCGGGUUCUUCGUCUCCGCGUCCUCGUCUGCCGACUACACGACAAAGAGUCAUGUACUGCAUGACCAGAGCUAGCCAGUGACAGGGAGACCGAGAGGGACGGGGCACGUGUGUCAGUUACGGUGGCUACGGCGGCGGCGGCGGCGGACUCCGUGGUCACGACGGACACGUGCACCGAGGUGCGGCACUGGGGGCGGUCUUGGAGCGAUCGGACGCACGCGCAUCCGAGCAGUAGGGACGGCGGCGGAGCACGAGAUGGGGGCGGGGGCAUCGGACUCCGUGGUCGCGAUGGACACGCGCACCGAGGGGCGGCAUUGGCGGCGGCCUUGGAGUGGCCGGACGCGCAGGUAUCCGAGCAGUAGGGACGGCGGCGGAGCAGGAGAUGAGGGCGGGGGCGUCAGAAGAGNNNNNNNNNNNNNNNNNNNNNNNNNNNNNNNNNNNNNNNNNNNNNNNNNNNNNNNNNNNNNNNNNNNNNNNNNNNNNNNNNNNNNNNNNNNNNNNNNNNNUUUGUUAGCAUUUUUAGGAUCGACAAAACCUUCGGGUUGCAUCAUAUACAACUCUUCCUUAAGAAAACCGUUAAGGAACGCCGUUUUGACAUCCAUCUGCCAGAUUUCAUAAUCCAAAAAUGCAGCUAUUGCUAACAUGAUUCUGACUGACUUAAGCAUCGCUACGACUGAGAACGUCUCAUCGUAGUCAACUCCUUGAACUUGUGAAAAACCCUUUGGCACAAGUCGAGCUUUAUAAACGACCACAUUACCGUCAGCGUCAGUCUUCUUCCUAAAGAUCCAUUUGUUAUGAAUAGCCUUGCGGCCCUUAGGUAGUACUUCCAAAGUCCACACUUUGUUUUCAUACAUGGAUCCUAUCUCGUACUUCAUGGCCUCCAGCCAUUUGUUGGAAUCCGGGCCCACCAUUGCUUCUUCAUAAUUCGCAGGCUCAUUGUUGUCUAACAACAUAAUUGAUAAGACAGGAUUACCGUACCACUCUCGAGUAGUACGCGGUCUCGUCGACCUGCGAGGUUCGAUAUGAAUUUGAUCCGGAGUUUCAUGAUCAUCAUCAUUAACUUCCUCCUCAACCGGCGUCGCAACGACAGGGGUUUCCCCUUGCCCUGCGCCACCAUCCAAAGGGAUGAGAGGUUUGAUAACCUCAUCAAGUUCUAUCUUCCUCCCACUCAAUUCUCUCAAGAGAAACUCCUUCUCGAGAAAAGCUCCGUUCUUAGCAACAAACACUUUGCCCUCGGAUUUGAGAUAGAAGGUAUACCCAACUGUGUCUUUCGAGUAACCUAUGAAGAUGCACCUUUCCGCUUUGGGUUCCAGCUUUUCAGGCUGAAGCUUUUUGACAUAAGCAUCACAUCCCCAAACUUUGAGAAACGAAAACUUUGGUCUUUUGCCAUACCACAGUUCGUAUGGUGUCGUCUCAACGGAUUUUGAUGGUGCCCUAUUUAAAGUGAAUGCAACUGUUUCUAAUGCAUAACCCCAAAAUGAUAACGGCAGAUCGGUAAGAGACAUCAUAGAUCGCACCAUCUCUAAUAAAGUAUGAUUACGACGUUCGGACACACCAUUACGCUGUGGUGUUCCACGCGGUGUCAACUGUGAAACAAUUCCACAUUGUCUUAAGUGAGCACCAAACUCGAAACUCAAAUAUUCACCCCCACGAUCAGACCGUAGGAACUUGAUCUCUUGUUACGAUGAUUUUCAACUUCACUCUGAAAUUGCUUGAACUUUUNNNNNNNNNNAGACACACCAUUACGCUGUGGUGUUCCAGGCGGUGUCAACUGUGAAACAAUUCCACAUUGUCUUAGAUGAGCACCAAACUCGAAACUCAGAUAUUCACCCUCACGAUCAGACCGUAGGAAUUAGAUCUUCUUGUUACGAUGAUUUUCAACUUCACUCUGAAAUUGCUUGAACUUUUNNNNNNNNNNNNUACGCUCAUCGGACCACACACAUCGGUAUGUAUGAUUUCCAACAAGUCACUUGCACGCUCCAUUGUUCCGGAGAACGGAGUUUUAGUCAUCUUGCCCAUGAGGCAUGGUUCGCACGUGNNNNNNNNNNNNNNNNNNNNNNNNNNNNNNNNNNNNNNNNNNNNNNNNNNNNNNNNNNNNNNNNNNNNNNNNNNNNNNNNNNNNNNNNNNNNNNNNNNNNCAGUGCCACAAAAUAUGGCGCUAUCAUUGUUAACUCUAACUCUUUUGGUCUCAAUGUUAUGUAUGUGUGUAUCGCUAUCAAGAUUCAAUAUGAACAAUCCUCUCACAUUGGGUGCAUGACCAUAAAAGAUGUUACUCAUAGAAAUAGAACAACCAUUAUUCUCUGACUUAAAAGAGUAACCGUCUCGCAAUAAACAAGAUCCAGAUAUAAUGUUCAUGCUCAACGCAGGCACUAAAUAACAAUUAUUCAAGUUCAUAACUAAUCAUGAUGGUAACUGAAGUGAAACUAUGCCGACGGCGAUUGCAUCAACCUUGGAACCAUUUCCCACGCGCAUCGUCACUUCAUCUUUCGCCAUCCUUCGCCUAUUCCGCAGUUCCUAUUUCGAGUUGCAAAUAUGAGCAACAGAACCGGUAUCGAAUACCGAGGCACUACUACGAGAGCUGGUUAAGUACACAUCAAUAACAUGUAUAUCAAAUAUACCUGAUUUUUCUUUGGCCGCCUUCUUAUCAGCCAGAUACUUGGGGCAGUUGCGCUUCGAGUGACCCAUACCCUUGCAAUAAUAGCACUCCGUUUCAGGCUUAGGUCCAGCUUUGGGUUUCUUCGUCGGAUUGGCAACAGGUUUGCCGCUCUUUUUUGAAUUACCCUUCUUUCCUUUGUCAUUUCUCUUGAAACUAGUGGUAUUAUUCACCAUCAACACUUGAUGUUCUUUACGGAGUUCUGACUCUGCGACUUUCAGCAUCACGAACAACUCGCCGGGUGAGUUGUUCAUCCCUUGCAUGUUGUAGUUCAACACGAAGGCCUUAUAGCUUGGUGGCAGUGAUUGAAGAAUUCUGUCAGUGAUAGCCUCUUGCGGGACUCCAAUCCCCAGCUUAGCCAGACGGUUUGAGUACCCAGACAUUUUGAGCACGUGUUCACUGACAGACGAAUUCUCCUCCAUCUUGCAAGCAUAGAAUUUAUCGAAGGUCUCAUACCUCUGGAUCCGGGCGUUCUUCUGAAAGAUAAACUUCAACUCCUAGAACAUCUCAUAUGCUCCAUGACGCUCAAAGCGACGUUGAAGUCCCGGUUCUAAGCCAUACAAGACUGCACAUUGAACUACUGAGUAGUCCUCCUUACGUGAUAACCAAGCGUUCUUAACAUCUUGGUCAGUCGUAGCGGGUGGUUCAUCUCCUAACACAGCAUCAAGGACAUAAUCCUUCUUCCCAGCUUGUAGGAUCAACUUAAGAUUACGAGCCCACUCUACAAAGUUGCUUCCAUCAUCUUUCAACUUAGCUUUCUCUAGGAACGUAUUAAAAUUCAGGGUGACUGUCGCAUGAGCCAUGAUCUACAACACAAAUAUAUUUAAAGUGGACUUAGACUAUGUUCAAGAUAAUUAGAGUUUAACUUAAUCAAAUUACUUGCUAAACUCCCACUCAAAAAGUACAUCUCUCUAGUCAUUUGAGUGGUUCAUGAUCCAAUUCCACUAGCUCAAGUCCGAUCAUCACGUGAGUUGAGGAUGGUUUCAGUGGUAAGCAUCCCUAUGCUAAUCAUAUCAACUAUAUGAUUCAUGAUCGACCUUUCGGUCUCAUGUGUUCUGAGGCCAUGUCUGCACAUGCUAGGCUCGUCAAGCUUAACCUGAGUGUUCCGCGUGUGCAACUGUUUUGCACCUGUUGUAUGUGAACAUUGAGUCUAUCACACCCAAUCAUCACGUGGUGUCUCGAAACGACGAACUGUAGCAACGGUGCACAGUCGGGGAGAACACAAUUUCGUCUUGAAAUUUUAGUGAGAGAUCACCUCAUAAUGCUACCGUCAUUCUGAGCAAAAUAAGGUGCAUAAAAGGAUUAACAUCACAUGCAAUUCAUAAGUGGCAUGAUAUGGCCAUCAUCACGUGCUUCUUGAUCUCCAAUACCAAAGCACCGGCACGAUCUUCUUUGUCACCGGCGCCACACCAUGAUCUCCAUCAACGUGUCGCCAUCGGGGUUGUCGUGCUACUCAUGCUAUUACUACUAAAGCUACAUCCUAGCAAUAUAGUAAACGCAUCUGCAAGCACAAACGUUAGUUUAAAGACAACCCUAUGGCUCCUGCCGGUUGCCGUACCAUCGACGUGCAAGUCGAUAUUAACUAUUACAACAUGAUCAUCUCAUACAUCCAAUAUAUCACAUCACAUCGNNNNNNNNNNAAUAGUAAACGCAUCUGCAAGCACAAACAUUAUUAUAAAGACAACCCUAUGGCUCCUGCCGGUUGUUGUACCAUCGACGUGCAAGUCGAUAUUAUCUAUUACAACAUGAUCAUCUCAUACAUCCAAUAUAUCACAUCACAUCGUUGGCCAUAUCACAUCACAAGCAUACCCUGCAAAAACAAGUUAGAUGUCCUCUAAUUUUGUAGUUGCAUGUUUUACGUGGUGACCAUGGGUAUCUAGUAGGAUCGCAUCUUANNNNNNNNNNGUUGCUGCAUGUUUUACGUGGUGACCAUGGGUAUCUAGUAGGAUCGCAUCUUACUUACGCAAACACCACAACGGAGAUAUAUGAAUUGCUAUUUAACCUCAUCCAAGGACCUCCUCGGUCAAAUCCGAUUCAACUAAAGUUGGAGAAACCGACACUCGCUAGUCAUCUUUGAGCAACGGAGUUACUCGUAGCGAUGAAACCAGUCUCUCGUAAGCGUACGAGUAAUGUCGGUCCGAGCCGCUUCGAUCCAACAAUACCGCGGAAUCAAGAAAAGACUAAGGAGGGCAGCAAAUCGCACAUCACCGCCCACAAAAACUUUUGUGUUCUACUCGAGAAGACAUCUACGCAUGAACCUAGCUCAUGAUGCCACUGUUGGGGAACGUUUCAUGGGAAACAAAAAAAUUCCUACGCGCACGCAAACCUAUCAAGGUGAUGUUCAUCUGCGAGGGGGAUUUCAGAUCUAUGUACCCUUGCAGAUCACACAGCAGAAGCGUUAAUAAACGCGGUUGAUGUAGUGGAACGUCCUCACGUCCCUCGAUCUGCCCCACGAACCGUCCCACGAACCGUCCCGUGAUCCGUCCCACGAUCCGCUCCGAUCUAGUGCCGAACGGACGGCACCUCCGCCUUCAGCACACGUACAGCUCGACGGUGAUCUCGGCCUUCUUGAUCCAGCAAGAGAGACGGAGAAGUAGAUGAGUUCUCCGGCAGCGUGACGGCGCUCCGGAGGUUGGUGGUGAUCUAAUCUCAGCAGGGCUCCGCCCGAGCUCCGCAGAAACACGAUCUAGAGGAAAAACCGUGGAGGUAUGUGGUCGGGCUGCCGCGGAAAAGUUGUCUCAAAUCAGCCCUAAAACCUCCGUAUAUAUAGGUGGNNNNNNNNNNUUCCUCCCGAGCUCCGCAGAAACGCGAUCUAGAGAAAAAACUGUGGAGGUAUGUGGUCGGGCAGCCGUGGAAAAGUUGUCUCAAAUCAGCCCUAAAACCUCCGUAUAUAUAGGUGGGAGGGGAGGGGCCUUGCCUUGGGGCACAAGAGCCCCCAAGGGGUUCGGCCGAAGAGGGGAGGAGGAUUCCUCCUCCAAUCCUAGUCCAACUAGGAUUGGAAGGUGGAGUCCUUCCCUUCCUUCCCACUUCCCCUUUUUUUUAUUUUCUCUUUGAUUUUCUUAUCUCCUACGCAGGGGCCUCUCUGGGCUUGCCCACCAGCCCACUAAGGGCUGGUGCGGAACCCCUAAGGCCUAUGGGCUUCCCCGGGGUGGGCUGCCCCCCCCCCACCCCGGUGAACAUCCGGAACCCAUUCGUCAUUCCUCGUACAUUCCCGGUAAUUUCGAGAACCUUCCGGUAAUCAAAUGAGGUCAUCCUAUAUAUCAAUCUUCGUCUUCGGACCAUUCUGGAAACCCUCGUGAUGUCCGUGAUCUCAUCCGGGACUCCGAACUGUUGGAAAUAUGCCCUAGAGGCAAUAAUAAAUUAGUUAUUAUUAUAUUUCUUUGUUCAUGAUAAUCGUUUAUUAUCCAUGCUAUAAUUGUAUUGAUUGGAAACACAAUACUUGUGUGGAUACAUAGACAAAACACUGUCCCUGGUAAGCCUCUAUUUGACUAGCUCGUUGAUCAAAGAUGGCCAAGGUUUCCUGGCCAUAGGCAAGUGUUGUUACUUGAUAACGGGAUCACAUCAUUAGGAGAAUCAUGUGAUGGACUAGACCCAAACUAAUAAACGUAGCAUGUUGAUCGUGUCAUUUUGUUGCUACUGUUUUUUGCGUCUCAAGUAUUUGUUCCUAUGACCAUGAGAUCAUAUAACUCACUAACACCGGAGGAAUACUUUGUGUGUAUCAAACGUCAUAACGUAACUAGGUGACUAUAAAGAUGCUCUACAGGUAUCUCCGAAGGUGUUCGUUGAGUUAGUAUGGAUCGAGACUGGGAUUUGACACUCCGUGUGACGGAGAGGUAUCUCGGGGCCCACUCGGUAAUACAACAUCACACACAAGCCUUGCAAGCAAUGUGACUUAGUGUAAGUUGCGGGAUCUUGUAUUACGGAACGAGUAAAGAGACNNNNNNNNNNNNNNNNNNNNNNNNNNNNNNNNNNNNNNNNNNNNNNNNNNNNNNNNNNNNNNNNNNNNNNNNNNNNNNNNNNNNNNNNNNNNNNNNNNNNCCCCACCGACACAGCCCCCCCACCUAACCUCUCGGUCUUCCCCCACGAGAGGAACCCCACGACCGAGCCCUCUUCCUCGGCUCCUCUCCCUCCCAGACAACCCCGUCAGCCCCCAGAUCCACCCCAGGCCCCCAUCGAGCCUCCCUCUCCCACCAGAGCGACCGAGCCCCUCGGUUCAUCCCGUCGGCCCCAUCCACUCCGGCGGUCCUCCCCUACCUCGAUCCCAGGCCGCCACCCACGAGCACCCGCGAGGUCGACCUCCCCAUCCCCGGGAACCCCAUCUCACCGGCCUCAACCCUCUCGGCGGCUCCAUCUCCAGGGGCCCCUCCUCGCCGGGGCCCCUCUCGGCGACCCUCCGACCGGCUCCCCUCGUCGGCACGUCCUCACCGGAACCGCGCCAUCACCGUCACCGCCUCGUCCUCCUCCUUGCUGUCACCUCCGCCUCCCGAGAACUCCGGCUUCACCGAGCCCUCUCGUCAACGUCGGUGAGCUCCUCUUCGGGCUCCUCCCACCUUCUCCUUCCUCGCGCCAUCCCGGUUCCGUUCCGGCAAACGGCGCUCCGUUCCGACGCCGUUAGGAUCGUGUAGGCGAGGUUGGAGAUGUUCCUCUCUCCCUGUGAGGUUGAGAGUUUGAGAGUCUUUGUUAACACACAGAGUUAUGAGAUGAAAUGAGAAAAAGAGAAAUAAAAAUAAACGAUGUAUUUGCGUAUGUAUGUAUUGGAUGCCGUAUGUUUUUUGUAUGUAUGAGAUGCACAUAUGUAUGUAUUUAUGUAUGUAGGUAUGUGGAGAAUACGUGUAUGUAGGAAAAAUNNNNNNNNNNUUGUGUUAACACACACAAUUAUGAGAUGAAAAGAGAAAAACAGAAAUAAAAAUAAACGAUGUAUUUGCGUAUGUAUGUGUGUAUGUAUAAGAUGCAGUACGUAUUUUGUAUGUAUGACAUGCAGAUAUGUACGUAUUUAUGUAUGUAGGUAUGUGGAGAAUACGUGUAUGUAGGAAAAAUGUGUAUUUGGCCUAAGCCACUUACCGGUGGGGCCAACCCACCCCGCUGUCUAUGACAGGGAGGCCCCACACCCUCUUUUUAGAAAGGUGAAAAUUAAAAUAUAAAAAUUAAAAUAUGUUUUUAUUAAAUAAAUAAAUAGAUAUAUUAUUUAAUUAUUUAUUUGGGUAAUUAGAAUAAUUAGAGUAUGACACGUGGGUCCCUCACUAAAUUAACCUGAUUAAUUACUAUUUAAUCUUAAUUAAAAACUUGUGUCUAUGACGCUCGGGACCCACUGUUGCUGUCAGCGUGACAUCAUGCUGAUGUCAUAAUAGCUUUUAAUUAAAUUAGUUAAAUCUGUUUUUAAUUCCUAAUUAUUGAAUAAAACUUAAAAAAUUAAUAUAAAAUAAUCCGUAAGUCAAAUCAAAAUAUUUUUAACAUGAAAGUUAAUCACCAGAACGAGACGAACCCGGAUACACGGUCCAUUCGUGUGUCACGCGUCCCUAGCAUAGCAAACAUGGAACAUUUCCAUCGUUUCCAGCCUCACCGGUAGUAGCCCGAGACCCGAAAAAUAUCGUCAGAUAUUCUUCCGACCCGUCUAUGACGGAUGUUGUUGCGUUAGCUCAUGUCUAGCGUGCAUCUUACCAUGUCAUGCAUUGUGUUGUACCGUUGCUAUUAUUUAUUGUUUCUUCCCCCUCUUCUUGCCGGUAGACCCCGAGACUGAUGCUGCUGCCGGGUACAUCUACGACCCUGCCGAUCAGUCCUUUGCCGCAGAGCAGCAAGGCAAGCAAACCUCCCUUGAUCAUUCCUAUAUCACCUAUGUCCUUCUUCCUACUGCUUGCAUUAGUAUUUUUCUACUGUUGUAGUUAGCUCCUAUAUCUGAUGCAUAGCCUAUUUUUGAUGAACUGCUACUUUCAGCACUGUACUUUAAAUUUGCUUAGUAUAGGUGGAGCAGUCAUCCCCUCCGACACCGUAGUCCAGUUGCCCCGCUUGUUUUCAAAUCUCGAUCUCUGAUCGANNNNNNNNNNGACACAUCACAUACACCCCCUAGUUGUACGACGCUACAGAGAUACUAUCGGGUACCGAGGGUGACACCUCGCUAAGUACUCAUGAUGAUAUCUCUGUAGUAUAGCUAGUCGGUCGUGGUUAUCGAGGGUGAUUCCUCUUUCACCAUUCCCGACGAUGCCUCUAUCAUGCAACCCCUCAAGUGUGGGACCCCCGAGGGUGAUUCCUCUAAGCCCACCUUGACGGAUACAUCGUUCGGAAUGCAACAAGGGUGAUACCUUGGAUUCCCCCCGAUGUUACAACCACACAGUUACUCGACCAUGUACUGGGAUCAUUGGUGAUUAGUUGUUAAGACGGGUGGAUUCUCGCGAGAUUGUGUCCUUGGCCUAAUUAAAAUGUUAAUGGAUUUGGGUAUUUGAUCUGGGUUGGUCGGAGACCUUUUCGCACUAACCGGCUACGCGGGAAGAAUUAUGGGUACUCGGCGUCGCGGUAUCAGCCGAAGCUUUUCAGAUGUCAGCAACGUAGUGGCGCGCGCCCGAGUNNNNNNNNNNNNNNNNNNNNNNNNNNNNNNNNNNNNNNNNNNNNNNNNNNNNNNNNNNNNNNNNNNNNNNNNNNNNNNNNNNNNNNNNNNNNNNNNNNNNUUUUAUUCCCUCUCAUUCAAAAGUUUUUUUGAAAAGUUUCAAACACCACUCAAGUUUCAAUCACUCAAACAAACAAACAAUCAUUCUAACAAUUAUAUUAACAAUCCAAAAUUUGGGAUGUUACAUUCGGAAAAUUGGGUAAGAGCCCCUAUAAAAUAGAUAUCAGCACACAAAAACUGUCACUGGGUGCACUGAGUUAGUAGGUUAGUCCAAAGAUGUGUAAAAUGAUAUGAAAGUGUAGCAAAACAUAUAACAGUGGCACCCAAAAGAUCAAGGAACAAGCAAAAAUUAUAGAUACGUUUCGGACGUAUUAGUACCUACGAACGAAAAUGAUUAGGCCUGCAUAAUUGUAUGUAAUGGCUAGUCCAAUCACACACGAGCUCAUUUUGCACAACGUGUGUGACCGGAGAGACAAUCCCCGAUGGUUUUGGGGGAUCAUUUUGCACAACGUGCGUGACCAAAGAGACUAUCCCCGGCGGAUUUUGUGUUGUGUGGGAAGGACCCCCCCUAUCGCCCACACUCACUAGGUGAUGGUUUAAAAUGCCAUCGCAGGUAGGGGUUAAAAACCGUUAUUAUAGCACGUCGCUGCACCAGUGUUGGUGCAUCCAUUGUCGAGGACCCACUUAGUAGCUUUAGGUGGUUCUUCCUGUAGACGAACUAAUACCACUUCCGAACUCAUAUACUUAAGAGUGAAGAAUAUGACUUAUCAAAUUCGUUAGUUUGAGGAAUAUCAAUGAAGCAAUAUAUAUGCAGUAUUGAGGACGAUUGAAAUGAGUUAUUCAUUUCAUCAUGAAUAUCUUGUGUCCUUUAAAUCAUUUCCUCCCGUCUCCAUCAAAUUCUUCAGACGUUCAAGUUCGUCUAGAGACCUGACCUGCAUAAUAGGUUAGUUCGUUUUCUUCACAACCCACAUCUGGAGGGGUGGCAAAGAGUUCAUCAUUCUACAAGCAUCAUAUGAGAAUUUAACCAUUGAAGCUAAUGCACUUCGUUUCCCGGUAGGGGAGUUAGAGUACUCUAAUGAAUAUGAAGAAAAGUUCUUUGAGGAUUUGUGAACAUAAUGGUUUGAAGAAUAAUGCACAUAUUCACGACCCUUUGAUUUUCCCUGCGAAACAGAAGCAUUAGCACGAGAAUGAGUAGAAUUUUGACCAUAUGAGGGAUUUGGUCCAUGUGAGGACUUUGGUCCAUAUGAGGAAUUUGAUCUGGGGUUCCUUUUCUUCAUUGGUGAUGACAUGAGGACAUUCACUUAACACUUUCUAGACAGCUCUUGGGAACCCAGAUUUUCCUCAUAGGGAGACCAUUCCUGCAGUUAGUUCCAACAUAUCUAGCAAAUACUUCAUCAUUCUGAUUUUUGAACACUUUAUAGUUGUAGUCAAAUGACUCAUCAUAGGAAUAUGAAGUUUCACAAGUAAAGCCAGAUAAGAUGGAUGGACCUACACGAGGUCCUUUUGCAUCACACAUGAAGUUUUUGGGUACUUCUCCGUUUUCUAGUAGGAUCCAUCAAAAUUUAACUUCGUUUCGAAUGCAAUGCCCUCUUUCCUAGGGUUCCUAUUCCGAAUCUUGUUUUUGAGCAUAUUGCAAAAGGUUUGAUGCCCUUUGAGACUUUUGUACAUGCAUGUCACAUACAAUUCCUUCAACCCUGCAUUUGUGGCAAGUUCGUUUCUUGGAGUCCUGUGAUGAAGAUUCUGAUCUCUUCACACCAUUUCUUGACGAUUUUCCAAACCGACUUCUUUUGGAGAACUGCUGGAAUUUCCUCACGAGCAUUGCUAGCUCAUGACCAAGUUCUUUAGGAUCACCAAGAUUAUUGUCAGAUUCUUCUUCUUGAAAUGAGGAAAUUUCCUUUGCCUUCAAUGCACGAGACCUUCCAUAGCUUGUCCCAUAGAGAUCUCUUUUCUUGGCUUGUUGGAAUUCAUGAGUAUUGAGCCUCUCAAGAAUAUCGAAGGGAUCUAGUGACUUGUAGUCUCCAUGCUCUUGAAUCAUCAAAGGCAGUGUGUCAAAUGAGGAAUCAAGAGAUCUCAUCAGUUUCUUUACCACCUCAUGGUUAGUGAUGUCUGUGGCACCAAGCGCCUGAAGCUCAUUAGAGAUAUUAGUGAGGCGAUCGAAGGUUUGUUCAACAUUUUCGUUGUUGCGUCUUUUGAAGCAGUUGAAGAGAUUGCAUAGAACAUCAACCUGAGUCAAGUUGAGUUGAGACUCCUUCGUUGACUUUGGAUAACCUGUCUCAGAUGAGGUUCACAGAUUCCAAAGCACUCACUCUGCCAUACCGACCUUUGCUCAAAUGACCACAUAUGUUAUUCUUUGCUUGAUACUCGAGUUGCUUGAAUCUCUUCACAAUAGCAGCAUUGAUAGUGGAAGUGACAUAGGGAACACCAUUUUCCACAACAUACCAAAGAUCGUUGUCAAUUGCCUCUAGAUGCAUAUGCAUCGUGUUCUUCUAGUAGGGGUAGACCAUCCCGUCGAAGGUAGGACAACCCACAGAGACCUUGAUCAUACUUACAUGCAACAUAAUUAAAACUCCAGGUGGUUAAACCAAAAUCACACACAACAAGGGAGUACCUUGCUAUGAUACCAACUGAAAGUGGAUUAUAUCGACUAGAGGGGGUAAAUAUGCAAUUUUUACAAAUUCAUCACUCGGGAAUUACUAGUCGAGGAAUUUGCUAAGUGAAAAAAUACUAGCAUCGGAUAAGAUACUCAAGUGCAUGUGUGACAUGGCAGUAGCUAAGUCAUCAUGAUGAAUUUGAAGCAUACACAAAGUGCAAGUAGCAUAAAACAGAGGAUAAGCAGGUGAAGAACAAGGUGAUUGAAGAAUUUUGGUUGAGGAGAUUGAGAAAGUCUUCAGUCAAAUUCUUCAAACAGUAACGAUCAAUUUCAUCAACACAUAAAUGAGGAAAUGAAAGGGUUGAGGAAAUAGAACCACUAGCUCGGUGAAGACAAUGAUUUGGUCUACCAAUUCCAACUAUUGUGACAGUCGUACGUCUGGUUUGGAGCAGCUUGGUAUUUAAACCAAAGGACACAUAGUCCCAGGACACACAUUCCCAGGACACACAAUUCUUACCAUAUUCUCCUUGAGCUAAGGUCACACAGGCCUCGCCCAAUCACUCGUGGUAAGACUUCAAGGUAGACUUCCAAACCUUCACAAACUCGGUCACCCGGGGAUCCACAAUUUCCUCUUGAAUGCUCUAGACCAUGACGCCUAAUUGUCUCGAAGAUACACAAUUUUCAAAGGUAAAAAGUGUCGAUUUGACACAAGAAUAAUCUCUUCAAUGAUGCUCAAUCACCUUAGGUAUUGGGUAUUGGGUUUUGGGUUUUUCCUCAUUGAUGAUUUCCACUCAAAAUCCUGGGGGAUGGAUUGCUCUCUAAUGACACUUAUCAAUUUCUCUCCCAGAGCACCCAACUAUCUAGUGGUUGUGGGGCGGCUAUUCAUAGCGAGGGUGCAACCCAACAUGAUAUGACAUAAAUGCCCCUAAUGGUAUGACCGUUUUAGGGAUAAGAUCCUUUGGGACAGUUGGCACCAAGCACAACAACGGUCGGAAUUCAAACUCACAAAGUCCUCAUGGCUAUGUGAAAGUGCGUUAUAUCGACUAGAGGGGGGUGAAUAGGAGAUUUUUAGAAUUUCAUCACUGAGGAAAUUCCUUUUGAGGAAAUUCCUCACUGAUGACUAACUUACAGCGGAAACAGUAAAGGAUCAGACGUGCAAAUGAUCACACCAGCAGUAUUUCAGAGUGAAGAAUGUGAAAACAGAUUGCAUAGUAAGCAGGCACGCAGAAUACAGAUGAUGAUUAACUAUUGUGAAGAAUUUGGGGUUGAGGAAAUUCACAGAAAGUCUUCAACAAAUUCUUCAAACAGUCACAGUGAAAGUCAUCAACACAUAAUACAGAGAAAGUAAAGAGUUGAGGAAUUAGAACCCGAUUCUCAGAGAAGACAGUCGUUGAUGACCCAGUUCCAACUGUUGUGACAGUUGUACAUCUGGUUUGGAGCGGCUUGGUAUUGAAACCAAAGGACACCCAGUCCCGGGACACACAGUCCCUACCGUAUUCUCCUUGAGCUAAGGACACACAGUCCUCGCCCAACACUCGUGGUAAGUCUUCAGGGCAGACUUCCAAACCCUCACAAACUCGGUCACCCGGCGAUCCACAAUUGACUGCUGGAUUGCUCUAGACCAUGACGCCUAACCGUUUGGAGGAUGCACAGUCCUCAAAGGUAAAAGGCUUCAGUCCCACACAGGAACACCUUCUUCAGUGAUGCUCAAUCACUAGGUUUGGUUUGUGGUUUCGGUGGGUGGUGUAUUUCCUCACUGAUGAAUUACUCUCGAAGGCUCUGAGGAAUUUGGGUUGCUCUUAUGACAAGUGUCAGUUUCUAACGGAGCAGCCAACCGGCUAGUGGUUGUGGGGGGUGGCUAUUUAUAGCCUGGGAGCAUCCCGACAUGAUUUGACACUAAUGCCCUUAAAUAAUAUGACCGUUGGAGUGGAUAAGACCAGUGACUUGGCGUGGUUAUCGAAACGGUCGGGACCCUCAACUGUGAGAGUCCUCAUGUCACUCAUAUUCCUCACUUGAGGCUUUUGGUAGGAUUAGGCUUGGGUUGAGCAUCAUGAGGAAAUCCAUUCCAUAGUGUUACUUUGACNUCAGUUUCUAACGGAGCAGCCAACGAGCUAGUGGUUGUGGGGGUGGCUAUUUAUAGCCUGGGAGCAUCUCGACAUGAUUUGACACUAAUGCCCUUAAAUAAUAUGACCGUUGGAGUGGAUAAGACCAGUGACUUGGCGUGGUUAUCAAAACGGUCGGGACCCUCAACUGUGAGAGUCCUCAUGUCACUCAUAUUCCUCAUUUGAGGCUUUUGGUAGGAUUAGGCUUGGGUUGAGCAUCAUGAGGAAAUCCAUUCCAUAGUGUUACUUUGACCCCCUUUAACAGUACGGUGUUCCUAUUCAUCACAUGCGAAGAAAGUAAAACAGAAAACGUAAAUCUUCACGCUUCAAUUUCUUCAGAAUGAUUUUCUUCUGGAACCACCGGUCUUCUCAAUAUCAGUGUCUUCAUGAGGAAUACCAAUUUCAUCGCAGAUUUCUCGCGAUUCAUUUCUUUAGCUUCAGACCAAUUUCUUCAACUGAAGAUAUACAUUUUUAGGGGUCGAUAUUCUUCAAAUAUCUCAAACUCCUCAAUGACUUAUAGAUCCUGUGUACACUUAUAAACACAUUAGAUACUUAACCUAUAAGUCUUAAAACCACCAAAAUCACUAAGGGGCACUAGAUGCACUUACAAUCUCCCCCUUUUUGGUGGUUGAUGACAAUUAGGUUAAGUCUUCAACAGGGAUCAAAAAUAUGAAGUGUAAAUACUCAUUUGAGGAAUUUGAAAACAAGAUUCAGAGAGACUCCCCCUGAAGAUGUGCAUACCUUGAGGAUUUUGCUUUUAUAGCAGAUGCACAUUGAUGAUUUAUAUCAUGGAGAUCUCCCCCUGAGUCUUGUAAAUCAUGCAUACAUAUAACAUAUCAUAUGAAGAAAAUGAAGAUGCAUGAUGGCAAAUGGUAUCUGACGAAUUCCAGCAUGCGUGCAUUAAAACUUUGAGGAAUAAGCAUGCGAAGAAAAAGUUCAAAAGCGUCAGAGUACCAUCGGGCUUAAGUUACAACUCAUUACAUAAAAACUUCAGAAGAACCAAGAGUUUGUAACUUAAAUAUAGUUCAUAAGCCCCAAAAAUAUCCCGCUUGAAGACUAACUCUCGAGUUUCUCCCCCUUUGUCAUCAAGUGACAAAAAGGGACAAACUGAGGACUAAAGCCCGUGAAGACUUCAUUUCUUGGCGGUUGAUGAAGAGCCGUGACGCUUCUUGGGGGUAGUCUUCUUCCUUGGGCCGGUUGCUGUGUCGAGUUGUUCCUCAUCAGAUUCAGCGGUGCGGAAUGAAGAAAAGGAGCUGUCUUCAAGGUCUAGCACUGGAAUGGGCCUGAACUUCCUCUUGGGAGGCCACCACCAGUCAAAGUCCUGCUCGAAGUUCAUUUCUUCAAGCUCAGUCUGGGUCUUCAGAUGUGCAAGUGUAGCCCAGGUGCGAUCGAAAACCUCAUGCAGAUAGUGAUGAUUAAUCUUCACAGAGUUCUGGGUUUCAGUGAGGGUUUUCACAAUGGCACCAAACUGGCGUUUGACCCAUUUGUGGUUGUGAUCCACCUUCUGGUGAAGACUGAGGAGAAGCUCUCUGGUGGUUAGCACUCGAGGAGGAACAGGGCUUGCUGGACGAGUCUGAGUAUCGUCCCAUGAAGAAUAUUCUUCUGGCUCUUUGAACUGGCCAUCAAGGGGCCUGCUGCCUUCUUCAAUCAUAGAUUUUCCUUUUCCUUCGAUGGGCUCGAAAGUCUUCUUGUUUACCCGGAUAGGAGGCAUAUAACCCAUGUGGUUUUGGAAAUCAGCAUGGGAGUUGAUGCCUGUCCUUGUCCUGAUGAAUCUCAUGAUCCAUGGCGCAUAAAUCUUGUGAUCAUAGGGGCACAUGGCAUUGUCAGCCAAAGUCCUCAAGAAGAAAUCAUGGAUAUUAAUAGGNNNNNNNNNNNNNNNNNNNGGAUAUUCUUCAUGAGGCCUACAACAUCUUCUUCAUCGUCAUGGCCUUUGAUUGGCGCAAGCACACUGCAGAGUAUUCUGUAGACAGACUGUGGUGUGUACUUGAGCUCAUGGACGAGGAAUGUGGUUCUUGAGGGUUUUCCUGCAGCCAAAGGCUUCAUGAGGACUUCCAUCAUUCCAUUUGGCAGCUCACGCUCACCAUAAAGCUUCACUGUCCCAUCUGAGGGAAUUGGUACGGGCAGUUCUCUGAGGAGUUCAGAAGCCGGAGCUUUGUAGUGAGUAUUUUGGGACAUCCAGUCGAACACCCAAGUGUUGAUGUCAUCAGCGUUGCCAGAGAUGUGUAGAGUUGCAUAGAACUGAAGAAUAAGCUCACUAUUCCAGUCUCAUAUGUCGGAGCACAUAGGGAGCAAACCUGCAUCGUGGAGUACACUGAGGACUGGUUCCAGGCAGGGUAUUGCUUCAAGCUCAACAUGAGGAAUGUGCCUGUGCUGGAAUAUCUUGUUGUGGCCACAAAGCACUGAGGAAUAGUAGUUCAAAUGAGUUCUUGUCCAAAACUUCAGAUGCCUCAUUUGAGGCUUGUCAUAAGGAUUCUCUCCGAUGAAAUACAUGCGUUCUUCAAAGAAAUCUUCUUUCUGAAACUUUGGACGCUUGGAGAAUGGUUGGUGCUGAACUGGCUUAAGAUUCUGCUGAGGAAUGGGAGGGGAGACAACCAUGGCAGUCUCUGGGUUGAGCACAAUGAAUUCAUUGUCUUGGGCGGGAACAUUUUCUUCAGCAUUUUCCUCAGGUUGAGGAAUUUCAUCAGCUGGUACUUCUUGCUCUGGCUGAGCUUCAGGCUGAGGAAUUUCUGCUUCUUUCUCAGCUUGAGGAGUUGGGUCAGCCUGUUCAGAAUGAGGAGUCUGCUCAGAAUGUGCAUUUUCCUCAGCUUGUUUUUCUUCAGCUGGCUUUGUGGCAGAAGCAGUUUCAUCAGUUGCUGCAGCUGAAGCUUGAGUAGUCUCUGUCUCAGGAACAAGAGGUUGAGGACUGUCAUCAAUCUGGAUUUCCUCAUCAGUGUGUUCCUCAGAGGCGACAUCCUUCAUUUCCUCAUCAGCCCUUGUAGUUGGGUCAUCAAUGACGACCAUCUCAUAUGAAGGGGCGACAUUAAGAGGCACUGGAUCGAGAGGAGCAGUUUCUUCAGUUUCCUUGAGGCGCUUUGCCUUUAUCUUUUCUACUGCUGAGGAGGCUUUUCUCUUCUUUGCUUCCUUUUCAGCAGCUCUUGUCUUCUUCGCAUCUGAUGCAUACGGUAUUAUCUUCUUCACCUUUGAAGCUUUUGGUGAAGGUGUUCUUUCUGCAUAUUCUUCAGCUGGUAGUGAGGAACCAGCUAGAACAGAGUCAUCAGCCUGCUUUGAUGAAGCAUCUGGAUCAGGAGCAGUCUUAUCAAUGGUUGCAAUUUUAUCAGUUGCAGUCUCGGUGAUGAUUUCUUCAAUGGCCGGUUCAUCAGCACGGCGCUCUUGGUGUUCUUCCUCAGCUUGAGGAGUUUCCUCCUCAUCAGGAGAUGCAUCUGCUGGCUGCUCAACCAGGGGCUGAGGAGUUGGUGCUGGUUGUGCGGUUCUCUUGUUGUAGUCAUCAACAGCACUAGUGGCUAGCUUGAUGAAAUUGCGCUUGAUGCUUUUGCGAUCUGACAGUUUGUCACACUUGUCAGUCAAGACUUGUAGCUCUGCCUGGGUUGACACCAGUGCAUCAGGAGUCAGCUUGAGGAGAUUCUGCCUGAGGAAUUUCUCCUUUUUGGCCUUUGCAACCUUUGCGUGCCUGGCCUGCUGUUCCUUCCACUUGGCUUCAUUUAUGAAGGUGGUCACCAUGUGGCUGAUGCCAGGAGGAAGUUUCAAAUCAUCAAUGGGCGUGUUUGGGUCCUCAUACCAUAUAUUGAUGUAGUCGAGGAGGACCUUGGGGUCCAUGGCCAGAGGAAUAGCACUGUCUGAUGCUUGUGCUACCCGUUCCUACUUGUUCCUGAUGAUGGCUUGCAGGGUUUCAUCAUCAUAAUCAUCACUUCCCUCUGAUGCAGAUGGGACUGCGAUGAUUUUGCUGGGGCUGGGCAGAGGUGCAGGUUGAGCAGUUGUCAAAGUCUUCACAUGUGGUGUUGAAGACUUUGUCUCCGAGCUAGUUGCAGCUGGGAGUGAGGAGCUGGAGCCGGCGGUCGUAGGCUUCACGACAUGCUUCUGUACUGGUUUUAGUUGAGGCUUUGGAGGUGGAGCUGAGGAUUUUGGUGCAGAGGAGAUUGGUGCUGAGGGUUUUGGCGCUG
rnacentral:lncRNA from 1 species